AAUAGAUAAAUUAAUUAUAAUAAAUAUAUAAAUUAAAUAUAAAUGACAUUUAUAAGUUGAUAAAAAUAUAAUUAUAACUACACUUUUUUGAUAAUAUAUAUAAUCAUAAAAUAAUGUUUCAUAAGUUGAUGUAAAAAUGUCAUAUUCUAAGCUUUUAUUUAUUUAUUAACGUGAUAUAUAUAUAGAAGUAUAUAGUUUUAAUAGGUAUAGAAAAUUAUUUAGAUAUUACCAUAUUUCUAAAAUCUUACCAAAAUGAAUAUUUAUAGAGAAAAAUAUUUCUGAUGUAUAAUUUAUCAGUUAUUAUUAUAGUACAAAUUUUUUUCAAUCAACAAAAAAAAUUAUGUAGGAAAUAGGCAUUAGCAUAUUUAAGAAAUCUUUCCAAAAACAUAAAUCAUAAUAUAUGAAAGUUUACUUGUCACAAUUAGGUUGAUGUUAUGUCAUAUUUUUGAAAGUCAUGUCAUUUUUUUUUUUUGAGAAUAAAUGUUGUGAUGACACAUGUACAAAUCAUUUCUCAAAUAUUAUCUAAAAGAUGGAUCAAUCUACUGCAAUUCUGAAAAGUCACAUGGAGAAGCCUUUUGUAUUCCUACGAGUGGUUUCAAAAGAUGGCAGCAAAAGAUGUUGUUUUAUCUCAUGACACUGAAUCUGUCACAGUGCUUGAAUUCUGAAGGACUAGAAUUACCUGUAUAAGGUUAUAUUCCUCAUGAAAUCAUUAAAGCAUCAGAGCCUCAGAGGCAUGGACACAAAACAAGUUUUUUUUGCAACAAUUAUAUUCUUAACUCUCUAAGACGUUUAUCAUAUAUUCCAAACUCCAAAACAGUUGUGGGAAUCAUUAGAUAAGAAGUACAAGUCUGAAGUAAGCGAUAAGAAGUUCAUUGUGGGAAACUUUUUAAACUUUAAGAUGAGUGACACAGUUUUUGUUGUGAAACAAGUGGAAGAAAUCCAAGUUAUUGCUCAAGGAAUGAGGAUGAAAGUCUGGGGCCGAAUGAAACUUUUCUUGUUUUUUUCUUUUAUUAAGAAAUUGCCUUCAACUUAGAGAUAUUUCAAGAUAUAUUGAUGUAGCUCAAAUUACCCUAAAGCAAAUUUGUCAAAUAAGAGAUUGAUUGCAGAACUUAGGGAUCAAAUCCACAUGGAGCGAGGGUACACAAUUGAUUAGAGACUUCAAGAUGAAGCUAGGCAGUAAUAUUAAAAGCAGUAAACAAAACAAUAAAUAGGUUGUAAACAAUAUGAGAAAAGUGUGACUUUAAUGCAGGCAAUUAGAACUAUAGUUUAUAGAUGCUAAGGGUGUGAUAGAAACCAUCAUAGAACUUUAAUUCAAUCAGUAAGAUAUCCAGCUCUCGUUCUGAGUCUAAUCAGAUGUCUAAAUCCUAUAAUUCCAAAUCUCUCGUAUGCAAAUUUAGGAAGAGUGUUGAUCGAUACUUCUUUUAGACAAUAAUUAACAUUCAAAUCAGUUUGCUGACUCAGUUAUUUAAACCAACUCUCGUAUGCGCUUAACAACCUAGCUCAACAGGAUUUAGUUUCAGGAGUCGAACCUACUCUUGCGGUUGUCGAUUAUCCUAUAUUCAAGUUUCUAGUUAGCUAAUCUAGAAUACAAGCAAUAAAAUCAAUCAUGUGAAGGAUCCAAAUAAAUCACCCUAACAGUUAUAUGUUUUAUAAAUUCAUCAAAACCCUAAAAAACCAUAAAGCUAACAAGGUAACUACUCAGACAUGUUAAAGCAAGACAACUGAAUGAAUUGCAUUUAAAAAGUAGAGAUAGUAAUACUUGAAUUCCAAUAAAAUCUCUGAACGAGUCUUCUGAUCUUCUCUCCAAACUUCUAAGAAUAAUAAAGCUCUAUAAAUGUAAUAGUAUCUUACCCAAACAAUGGCUUAAAACUAUAUAUUAGGUAUAAGUCGGACAGGGGAAAUUGUGUAAUAUGUGGAGACUUUUGGGCCAAACUUGAUUCUGGAAAUUGAGUUGGUCCGUACUCACGUCGGUGUCGAGCGACACCAAGGAAGGUGUCGAUCGACACUCCUUCCAAAACUCGCCACUAUCUUCUGUUUUCUUGAACAUCCAGGGGUUUCUUCAUCUUUAAGCUCCAAAUGGCUUCAUGAUCUCCACAGUGCUCUAAUAUAUACCUAUACCUGAAAAUAUUUUAAAAUAGACUCAAAAUAAUACAAAGGCUCUAAAUAUGACUUAUAUUAUGGCUUAAAACCGGUGAAAUCCAUAGUAUAUCAUAUAUCAUGAAGCACAUAAAUCAUAGGUUAUGAGUUUACACUUGGUGAUAGUUCUGUGUCUUGGAAAUCAUCUAAACAUACGUGUAUUGCAUGUUCUACAAUGGAAUCUAAGUUUUAUCGCAUUAGAUAAAGCUGCAGAAUAAGCUGAAUGGCUUAGAAAUUUUAUUGAAGAUAUUCCUCUAUGUCCAAAAUCCAUAACUUCACUAUGCAUUCAUUGUGAUAGUAUGACUGCUUUAAAUAGAGGGGAAACAUAAAAUUUACAAUGGCAAUUCAAGACAUAUCAGACGAAGCCAUGCAUCAAUAAAACAACUUCUUUCCAGUGGGUGAUAGCAUAGGAUUACAUUAGAUCAAAGGAAAGGUUGGCUGAUCCUUUGACUAAAGGUCUACCUAAAGAGCAAGUUGUAUUCACUUCGAGAGGAAUGGGUAUCAAGCCAACAUAAUAAGUCAUCACUUGACGGAAACCUAACCUAGCAACAUUUGAGAUCCCAUAAUCUAGGUCCAAUAGGAAAACUAAUUGAGGAAGACUCAAGACUUUAUUUUAAACAUUUCUCAUUCCUAUGAAAUAACAAUGUGUAUCCAUUGAUGAUCAAAGGUUUUGAAUAAUCUAUUCUUAAUAAUGCUAGUAUCUUUUGUAGAAGAGAAAUAGAAUAGACUAUCUUUAAUUUACAUUUCCUAUAUGAGAGUGGUGUCGGUCGCACCUAUGAUAAUUGAUAGGGCUAAAUUCUCUAGAGCUCUCACGAAGUAAAGAUAUGUUCAUGACUAAAAUGAACACAACUGUAUUGAGGAUUUGGAACUUUUAGUAUUGUUAGAUUAAAGAAGAUUAUCAAAUAAAUUCUCUAGAGCUCUCACGUAGGACUAAAAAUCAGCCGAGCAGAAACUGUUAUUUGGCCACGUCAGUGCUACUCCUGUCGACAGAAGAUCAAAACUGGUUCUUCAUUUGGGCUGUCUUUCCAUUUUAAACGGCCCAGAUAGAACCCAAUCUCGCCACCCUAAUUUCGACUGAUGUGUAGAGACUAGAGAGUUCAUCUUCCCGACUCUUCCACUUCGCCUUCACGGUCUCAGUUGCUCUGUAUCUUCGUUACCGCUUGCUCCUCUUCAUCAAUAAAUAACGUUAUUUAAUAUCUUCUUUAUUGUUUCGUUCUUAACUCUCACCAUCAAUACAGAACGAACUAAUCUCUUCUCCUCCCUAUUUUCACACAAUAAAAUCCCGUCUGGUUCUCUGAGUGAACUCCUACUAAACUUACUCUCUUCAUAACUCACCCAAAUCCAUUGCUAACAAAACGUCGACUCUGAUGGAGAGAUCGAUAUGGAGAACGACUUAGCAAGUGACAUAGAAAUCAGCGUUGAGAGCGAUGAAGUAGGCGCCGGCGAGAUCGAGAUUAAGAGUGACAAAGCUAUUGUUAAGCCACCUAUUGAGGUGAUGGUGAUCAGUCCAGAUACAAACCAGGUUGCAAAUCUAAAGAGGAUAUGAGAUACCAUGUAUGCAAUAAAAAUGAGAAAUUGCACAGGGUUUCUAUGCUCUCGAUGAUACGAAGGCGGCUGGAAGAAGGUAUUUUGUUGGAGGUGGAUGCAGUAUGUUAAGUUUAGCAUCACAAGUGGAUGCCAUUGACGAGACUUUAGCAAACGAUUAAGUUGGAGCUGACGAAAGCAGUGAGCUACCUGUUGAAAUGAAUUGCCAAGAAUGCUGGUGUUAAUGGUAGCGUAGUCAGCGUUAAAGUAGAAAAAAUGGUGCUGGCGAGCAAUAACCUGAAACACGGUUACAACGAUCUAAUGUCAGCAGGAAUCU